GAUGAACGCUGGCGGCGUGCCUAAUACAUGCAAGUCGUGCGGAAAGGCCACUUCGGUGGUACUCGAGCGGCGGACGGCAGAGUAACGCGUAGGAACAUACCCCAAACUGAGGGAUAACUGCUCGAAAGAGUAGCUAAUACCGCAUGUGAUCUUCGGAUUAAAGCUUCGGCGGUUUGGGAAUGGCCUGCGUCCGAUUAGCUUGUUGGUGAGGUAAUAGCUCACCAAGGCGACGAUCGGUAGCUGGUCUGAGAGGAUGAUCAGCCUGACUGGAACUGAGAACGGUCCAGACUCCUACGGGAGGCAGCAGUAGGGAAUUUUCCACAAUGGGCGAAAGCCUGAUGGAGCAACGCCGCGUGCAGGAUGAAUGCCUUCGGGUUGUAAACUGCUUUUAUUAGUGAAGAAUAUGACGGUAACUAAUGAAUAAGGGUCGGCUAACUACGUGCCAGCAGCCGCG
rnacentral:rRNA from 1 species